UACGAAGGGUGCUAGCGUUGUUCGGAAUGACUGGGCGUAAAGGGUGCGUAGGCGGCCAGAAACGUCUGAUGUGAAAUCCCUGGGCUUAACCUAGGAACUGCAUUGGAUACGGUCUGGCUAGAGUCCGCGAGAGGAAGAUGGAAUUGUGCGUGUAGAGGUGAAAUUCGUAGAUAUGCACAAGAACACCGGUGGCGAAGGCGAUCUUCUGGAGCGGUACUGACGCUAAGGCACGAAAGUGUGGGGAGCAAACAGG
rnacentral:rRNA from 1 species